rnacentral:misc_RNA from 1 species
AAACUUCUGAAUCAGUCCAAUGUUUUCAGACGGCCGUUUAAGAUAUAUCCACAGGAGAAUAAAACCUACGGUAACAUGAUCAGGAAACUUGUGGAUGACGAGGCAGAUCUGGCUAUUGCUCCAAUUACAAUAACAAAGGAACGCCAGAAGAUUGUAGAUUUUACCAAGCCUUUCAUGAGAACAGGGCUGACCCUAAUGAUCUACAAACCAGACAAAAGGAAGCCGGGAAUGUUCUCCUUUAAAGAACCCCUUCACAAAAACGUUUGGUUGUGUAUUGCUAUCGGUUUUCUGACGACGAGUGUUAUUCUGUUUCUGAUUGGUCGGUUUAGUCCAUUUGAGUGGUCCCAGAACUCCGAAGAAGGUCCAUCAAGCGAGUUUAGCAUGUCCAAUUCCCUGUGGAGUACACUGGGUGCCCUGAUGCAGCAAGGGUCAGACAUAUCACCAAGGUCUUUCUCUGGGAGGUGCGCGGAGAGUGCAUGGUGGUUCUUCACGCUCAUUCUGGUGGCGUCCUACACCGCCAACCUGGCGGCGUUCCUCACAGUGGAAAGCAUGGAUUUCAAAAUAAGAAACGUUGAUGACCUUGUUUCUCAAACCAAGGUCAAAUACGGCACCGUACAAGGCGGGUCGUCCGAGGAUUUCUUCAGGAAAUCGAAGGUGACGACAUACGAGCAGAUGUGGAGCGUAAUGCCCCCGUACCUGAUGGAGAGCAAUGAGAAAGGCUACCAGAAAGUAAUAGAGGAAAAGGGGAAGUAUGCCUUCAUCCUUGAGGGGGUGUUUAAUGAAUAUCUCAGUCAACAGAAACCUUGUAAAACUAUGCCAACCGGAGGACUCAUAAAUAACAUCGACUAUGGUAUAGCUAUCAACAGAAAGAGAAGGGAGGAACUUGGAAAGAGGUUGAAUUUAGAAGUGCUAAGGCUUCGGGAGCUGGGAGAGCUGCUGCGCCUGGAGACCAGGUGGUGGGUGGAGAAGGGCCGGUGUGGCGCAGCAACGGCACAGGAUGGAGGGAAGAAACGGUCGCUUACCCUCAGUAACGUAUCAGGGAUGUUCCACAUCCUGAUUGGUGGACUGAUAAUCGCAAUGAUGACGUCAGUAUUUGAAUAUCUUAUUCAAAAAAGAAUCCGGAAGCAAAGCUACAAGCUCAAAAAGGCAAAAACUUUACUUGGUGAGCUUGGAAAGAAGUUGAAUGGUAAAAAGGAACCACAAGUAGUGGAAAACAUAUAUUCUGGGGAAGAGACGCCACUUCGCCCAAACCUGUUAGCCGGAGCUCAAGAAAACAAAGGGUAUCAGACGACAUCACCAGCAAAACUGAUCAUGCUAGAUUCUUACCAAAGUGACCAGUCUGCGACAGGAACGGCCAUUUAAGUUCAACGUGAACCUCGUGAUGUUAACUCUACAUUUGCUAUAUUUAACGUUCUCAUAAAGAAUCAAGGAAACGAUGCGAUAUGUUGAAACUCCAGCAGGCGUUAACGUCGAUUCUCUGUGACAUUGUCCGCCAAUGAGGACAGGCGCGGGCAGCUUCUGGCGUCAGACAAUUAAAAAACUGACAGUGCGUCUUUCAAGAAUUAUUAUGUGCACCACGUAAUCUUUUUCAAUUAAUAAUUCUGUCCAACGCGUUUUGCUCAUGUAAUUUUUUUCUGUCACAUCUGCAAUCUUUCUGUACAAUAUGCACUUUGUAUUUGCUGUUAUGCUGUUGCUAUUUACCUGUUUUGUCGUAAUGUUGUCGUUGAUAAUGAAUUAUAUAGACAGGUUAAUAAUCCAGAUAACCACACAAAUGAUCAUAAAAAAAAAUGGAGUGUACAAUAUAAUGUAGUCAUCAAUUAACGGCAAUUAUAAAAUUAAACUUGUCAAGACGGAGAAGAUCCCAUAUUGUGUACAAUUUUAGUUGUCUGUUUUACCAUUCAUCCCGAUAUAUACGACUAAUUAUUUCAUUAUUAAGGAAAUAAAUUUAUUAAUUUAUUCAUGGUUAAUUUGUGUGGUGUAAUUAUAUCUAAUAAUGAAAUCACCAAAAUUACAAGCAUCGAAAGAAAUUACAAUGUAUAGCUUGAUAUCUACAAACUGUGCGAGCCUCAACCAGAAAAAAUAAAGAUAUUAGGUACAAUGACAACACCCUAAAACCGAUAUCCACGUCUGCAUCAAACUUAUGAAACUGAUGCUUAUACUUUGUAUACCUUACUAUGGUGGUACAUUUUGGAUGUGAUAGGUUAAGUAACGAGCACAAGAUCAAAUGCAAAAUACUUCAAAUUACUUUAUUGUGUAUAUAUAUACAUAUUUAUGAAUAUUCAAUACAUGUUGUUACAAUUUCUACUUCUGUAUAGUAUUUUGUGCAUAAAUGUACAUUUUUUGUAUCGAUCACUUUAUUUAAUACUUGUUUGUAAAAAAAAAAUGCCUUAGUUAAUACAGAAAUCAUCAGUC